CCUCGCCCUGCUCGUCCGAAUUUAAAGUAUUUAAUCUCUAAAUUCAAUAGGCUAUAAACAAAACGAACACAGAUAUAGGAUUAGUUGCUCGCAGUAACAUAUCAUUUUCUCUUGCGAUACAAUAUUUUAUUUUACUUUCUUCUACAUAUUUCUUCCGAUUCAAACCACUGACAUAUAAAUCCAUGACAUAUAACAUUGUUUCUCAUUCGCAUCUUUUCUUUUUCCUCGGUUAAUACCUCCAACGACUGUACGUAUGUAAUAAACAUAGCAGCAACUGUCAAUUUACCAAUGUGACCAACUUCAGUUCGACGCAACUGCGAGCACCUUCGAUAAUAUUACAUUUAAAUGCCAAACUUUAUAUAGUACCAUUAAAUCCCACCGUAGAAACCGCCAAAACUUUCCUCGUGCAUUAUACACCCGACAUCAAACUCUAUAAAUAGUACAUACUGUUGCAGAACUAGUUAUACUAGUUCCCAUCUAUAAAUAAUUACCACUAAUAGCAAACGGGAAAACACCAAUUUCAAACGAAAUAAAAUAUAUAUAAA
rnacentral:lncRNA from 1 species